rnacentral:rRNA from 2 species
GGUUAAGCGACUAAGCGUACACGGUGGAUGCCCUGGCAGUCAGAGGCGAUGAAGGACGUGCUAAUCUGCGAAAAGCGUCGGUAAGGUGAUAUGAACCGUUAUAACCGGCGAUGUCCGAAUGGGGAAACCCAGUGCAAUUCGUUGCACUAUCGUUAACUGAAUACAUAGGUUAACGAGGCGAACCGGGGGAACUGAAACAUCUAAGUACCCCGAGGAAAAGAAAUCAACCGAGAUUCCCCCAGUAGCGGCGAGCGAACGGGGAGCAGCCCAGAGUCUGAAUCAGCUUGUGUGUUAGUGGAACGGUCUGGAAAGUCCGACGGUACAGGGUGAUAGUCCCGUACACCAAAAUGCACAGGCUGUGAACUCGAAGAGUAGGGCGGGACACGUGGUAUCCUGUCUGAAUAUGGGGGGACCAUCCUCCAAGGCUAAAUACUCCUGACUGACCGAUAGUGAACCAGUACCGUGAGGGAAAGGCGAAAAGAACCCCGGCGAGGGGAGUGAAAAAGAACCUGAAACCGUGUACGUACAAGCAGUGGGAGCACCUUCGGGUGUGACUGCGUACCUUUUGUAUAAUGGGUCAGCGACUUAUAUUCUGUAGCAAGGUUAACCGUAUAGGGGAGCCGCAGGGAAACCGAGUCUUAACUGGGCGUUAAGUUGCAGGGUAUAGACCCGAAACCCGGUGAUCUAGCCAUGGGCAGGUUGAAGGUUGGGUAACACUAACUGGAGGACCGAACCGACUAAUGUUGAAAAAUUAGCGGAUGACUUGUGGCUGGGGGUGAAAGGCCAAUCAAACCGGGAGAUAGCUGGUUCUCCCCGAAAGCUAUUUAGGUAGCGCCUCGUGAACUCAUCUUCGGGGGUAGAGCACUGUUUCGGCUAGGGGGUCAUCCCGACUUACCAACCCGAUGCAAACUACGAAUACCGAAGAAUGUUAUCACGGGAGACACACGGCGGGUGCUAACGUCCGUCGUGAAGAGGGAAACAACCCAGACCGCCAGCUAAGGUCCCAAAGUCAUGGUUAAGUGGGAAACGAUGUGGGAAGGCACAGACAGCCAGGAUGUUGGCUUAGAAGCAGCCAUCAUUUAAAGAAAGCGUAAUAGCUCACUGGUCGAGUCGGCCUGCGCGGAAGAUGUAACGGGGCUAAACCAUGCACCGAAGCUGCGGCAGCGACACUAUGUGUUGUUGGGUAGGGGAGCGUUCUGUAAGCCUGCGAAGGUGACCUGUGAGGGUUGCUGGAGGUAUCAGAAGUGCGAAUGCUGACAUAAGUAACGAUAAAGCGGGUGAAAAGCCCGCUCGCCGGAAGACCAAGGGUUCCUGUCCAACGUUAAUCGGGGCAGGGUGAGUCGACCCCUAAGGCGAGGCCGAAAGGCGUAGUCGAUGGGAAACAGGUUAAUAUUCCUGUACUUGGUGUUACUGCGAAGGGGGGACGGAGAAGGCUAUGUUAGCCGGGCGACGGUUGUCCCGGUUUAAGCAUGUAGGCUGAUUGUCCAGGCAAAUCCGGAUAAUCAAGGCUGAGGUGUGAUGACGAGGCACUACGGUGCUGAAGUAACAAAUGCCCUGCUUCCAGGAAAAGCCUCUAAGCAUCAGGUAACAUCAAAUCGUACCCCAAACCGACACAGGUGGUCAGGUAGAGAAUACCAAGGCGCUUGAGAGAACUCGGGUGAAGGAACUAGGCAAAAUGGUGCCGUAACUUCGGGAGAAGGCACGCUGGUGUGUAGGUGAAGUCCCUGCGGAUGGAGCUGAGACCAGUCGAAGAUACCAGCUGGCUGCAACUGUUUAUUAAAAACACAGCACUGUGCAAACACGAAAGUGGACGUAUACGGUGUGACGCCUGCCCGGUGCCGGAAGGUUAAUUGAUGGGGUUAUCCGUAAGGAGAAGCUCUUGAUCGAAGCCCCGGUAAACGGCGGCCGUAACUAUAACGGUCCUAAGGUAGCGAAAUUCCUUGUCGGGUAAGUUCCGACCUGCACGAAUGGCGUAAUGAUGGCCAGGCUGUCUCCACCCGAGACUCAGUGAAAUUGAACUCGCUGUGAAGAUGCAGUGUACCCGCGGCAAGACGGAAAGACCCCGUGAACCUUUACUAUAGCUUGACACUGAACAUUGAGCCUUGAUGUGUAGGAUAGGUGGGAGGCUUUGAAGCGUGGACGCCAGUCUGCGUGGAGCCAACCUUGAAAUACCACCCUUUAAUGUUUGAUGUUCUAACGUUGGCCCCUUACCGGGGUUGCGGACAGUGUCUGGUGGGUAGUUUGACUGGGGCGGUCUCCUCCCAAAGCGUAACGGAGGAGCACGAAGGUUAGCUAAUCCUGGUCGGACAUCAGGAGGUUAGUGCAAUGGCAUAAGCUAGCUUGACUGCGAGCGUGACGGCGCGAGCAGGUGCGAAAGCAGGUCAUAGUGAUCCGGUGGUUCUGAAUGGAAGGGCCAUCGCUCAACGGAUAAAAGGUACUCCGGGGAUAACAGGCUGAUACCGCCCAAGAGUUCAUAUCGACGGCGGUGUUUGGCACCUCGAUGUCGGCUCAUCACAUCCUGGGGCUGAAGUAGGUCCCAAGGGUAUGGCUGUUCGCCAUUUAAAGUGGUACGCGAGCUGGGUUUAGAACGUCGUGAGACAGUUCGGUCCCUAUCUGCCGUGGGCGCUGGAGAAUUGAGGGGGGCUGCUCCUAGUACGAGAGGACCGGAGUGGACGCAUCACUGGUGUUCGGGUUGUCAUGCCAAUGGCACUGCCCGGUAGCUAAAUGCGGAAGAGAUAAGUGCUGAAAGCAUCUAAGCACGAAACUUGCCCCGAGAUGAGUUCUCCCUGAGACUUUAAGUCUCCUGAAGGAACGUUAAAGACGAUGACGUUGAUAGGCCGGGUGUGUAAGCGCAGCGAUGCGUUGAGCUAACCGGUACUAAUGAACCGUGAGGCUUAACCUU